GCUCAUCCAUCCCCAAAAUAGCAAUAAUAUCUUGUAGAUUCUUAUAGUUUUGGAGGACUUUCUGGACACCACGAGCAGUAUUGUAGUGUUCUUCUCCCAAGAUAUGAGGAGACAGCAUGCGAGAAGUAGAAUCCAAGGGAUCAACAGCAGGAUAAAUACCAAGCUCAGAAAUUUGACGGGACAGCACUGUCGUGGCAUCAAGAUGGGCAAAAGUGGUUGCGGGUGCGGGAUCUGUCAAGUCAUCAGCAGGCACAUAAAUAGCC
rnacentral:misc_RNA from 1 species